CAUUUAAGGAGGCUCGAGGGUAUAAAAAUUUCAGAAAAAAAUUAAACAUUUGUUUUUCAUUACAAAUUUUAUUUAUUACCUUUUGUAGUUGUUAAUUUAUCAUAUGGUACAAAAAACAUUCAAAACAAUUAAUUCGUGUUGGCCCUGUUGGCCCUAGAUGACUUUUAAAAUGUAAACAUCAUUGAAAAAGUUCCAAAUUAUCUUCCUUUGGUGGAAAAAUGCCAUUUUUUGGCUUUAAAAAUGAAAUAUCUCUUUUAACUCAUCGGUGACCUAUAUUUUUGAAUAUAAUUUCGAUAUAUGCUGUACUUAAACUAAAUUAUUGUAAAAUUUGAGCGAUUUCUGUAAUAAAUUUCUUUAUUUAUUUCGAUAUUAGUUCAACAGAAAUAAAAACACUUUUACAAAGAUGUAUGCUUCUUUCGAAGGCAGAUUGUGAGCGCAAAUGAACGGUGACCCCAUUUUUUUAUUUUUAUUUU
rnacentral:lncRNA from 1 species